GAUGAACGCUGGCGGCGUGCUUAACACAUGCAAGUCGAACGAAGCACUUGCGACAGAACUCUUCGGAGGGAAGAUGCAUUUGACUGAGUGGCGGACGGGUGAGUAACGCGUGGGUAACCUGCCUUGUACAGGGGGAUAACAGUUGGAAACGGCUGCUAAUACCGCAUAAGCGCACAGCACCGCAUGGUGCAGUGUGAAAAACUCCGGUGGUACAAGAUGGACCCGCGUCUGAUUAGCUAGUUGGUGGGGUAGAGGCCCACCAAGGCGACGAUCAGUAGCCGGCCUGAGAGGGUGACCGGUCACAUUGGGACUGAGACACGGGCCCAAACUCCUACGGGAGGCAGCAGUGGGGGAUAUUGCGCAAUGGGGGAAACCCUGACGCAGCAACGCCGCGUGAUGGAAGACGGUCUUCGGAUUGUAAACAUCUGUUGCAAGGGAAGAAAAAAAUAGACGGUACCUUGUGAGGAAGCCACGGCUAACUACGUGCCAGCAGCCGACGG
rnacentral:rRNA from 1 species